UCUCAUUCAUUUGACAGAGGGUAGGACGAA
rnacentral:piRNA from 1 species